UGUUUUUCUGCCUCUCUUCUGCAGUCUCCUUUCAACCAGGCCGUUUAGGCUGGAGAGUGAGAUGGUGUGAGGAGCCUGGCUGGAGAGAUCUUUAACUCAGCCGAGGACUGAGGAGGAAAUGUCGCUGUUGCUGUAAUCACUCCGAGUUGUGCAGGUUGCCCUGCGCUGCAACACUGCAACCAGCAGACAAGCAAAGCAGCAAAGCGUGCGACUCAGCCUGUUCUUCUAGAGAGGCGGAUGUGCGUUGACCAAGAAGCUCCAUAUGUUCGUGGAUUCCACGUGUAGAUCACAGAAUAUCCGUGGCCCUGCUAAAGCCACGCAGAACGGAUCCUCAUUUCUACUAAUCUGCUGGAGCCCGCCUGGGGCCCCUGGACCGAUGAUGGUGUUGCACUUGGUGUUUCGGAGACUCGAUAAUGAAAUCCAGCUCUAUUUCUGGAAAAUCUCCCGGUUUGCAAGGUUCAGCUUCAGAUGUAUGCAGGUAAUCAGGCCUCACAUGCGGAAAAAACGACGAGCGAAAGAACUCCAUAAGAUGAAUUCUCCAUGCAGUCCGGACGGACAAGCAUGCAGUCAACAUAAACUUAGGAGUGAAAAAAUAAUUUCCUUAACCGAAUAAAAACAUAAACAAAAAAUAAAUAAAAAUAACCAAAUGAUU